ACUGAUGCAGCUGCAGCGGUUCUUCUCCACACUGAUUCCAGGAGAGAGAGCAGCAGCUGUGAUCAAUCAGCUGAUCAGCGGGUGGCCUUCAUAAGGAGGACGGAGGACACUGCUAAGCUGCCGGAUGAUUACGCCUUACUGGCUCAGUCAUCUUUCCAUACACCACCUCCUCGCUGUGGGCUUUUGGAUUUACAACCCGACCAUACGACUUCUGGACUUCACUCCCGGUUCCCGUCCUCCUCACGGUAGGGAUGCACCGAUGGAUCGGCAUUUGAUCGUAAUCGGCCGAUAGCGCCCCUAUCGGUUUUGAUCGGAAUUUUCAAAAUAGAUCAGAGCAAACCGAUAAGGUAGGGUUGUCACGGUAACCAGUGUAGCGCUAAACCCCAGUAAAAAAAAAAAAAAAGAAAAAAAGUUGACAAUAAUAACCGUCUUGUUUUUAAAAAAACUAUAUUGUCUUGGUGGGGUUACCGUGGCUGCGGUGUAGGCGCGGUGACCCUUACCAGCCACCGUAUCAUCUGCUGAAGUUGCCGGCGGCUCAUGCGCGCUUUGUUUACAACAAAACUUUGUUGAAGCUAAAGCUGAAAUAAUGGUCAAAGGAGGAGACGGCAGCGCUCAGGAGGACAUUUAUUAUCCCUCAAAGAAGACAAAGUCGGAAGUACGGGCAUCUUUUAGAUAUUUGAAGAAUGCUGAGGGAGUUUAUGGAAGACGGACGGCUAUCCUGUUUGCAGCACGAGCAGAAAAAGUGUCUGUGAAAGGCAGCAAUGCUUCAAAUCUCAUGACACAUCUGCGUGACCAUCACCCACAACUCUACAGUCAACGCAAGGCAAGCUAACGUUAGCGUUUUAGCUAAAAUGCGUGAUCCAAGGAUUUGGGUGGAGGGAGAAUGCAACGAGUCGCUAUAUAAAGCAGCCGCAGCGCCGCUACCUGCAUAUAAACCGUGUCGCGGACACCGCCAUGUUGAAAUGACGCUAUGCAUUACGGGGCUCCCAGGGGCAGAUAAGAGUUGGUCUCUCUCCGAGAAUAAUUAUGAAUUUAACAACGAUUACUGCCUGAUGACAUUUUCCCACAUCUGCAAAGCUCACUGGAAGGACACAAACCGAGGACAAUAUUUUCCUGAUAUAGUGUUUAGUACUCAAGUAAGGGUAAAAAAGUAUCUGAUUAGAAGGCUACUUGAGUACUGAGUAUCAUCUGAUCUAAUAUUUUUAAAAUGAUGACAUCAAACAGACAUAAAAUAAGAAGUUAUGGGCAAAUAUUGGUAUUUUAAAGACUGAAGGGGAAAAUGUAAACAAAUAAACAACUUAAUUACAAAAUAACACAUUUUAGGCAAAAUUUAGACACAAACUGAGGACAAUAUUUCCUGACAUACAGGGUUUAUUUAAUUGUGUGAAAAUGUAGCACGUUUAAAAAAAAAUACCACGAUAAUACCGAAAACCGUGGUAAUUUUGGUCACAAUAACCGUGAGGUUAAAUUUUCACACCGUGACAACCCUAACCCCCAAAUUCCACUACCUCCGCUCCGCUCCGACACGAACGCCGGAGCAAAAUCGGUCCCGUUGUAGUCAAUCAGAGCAAUUCCACUACUGCGGCCGUGCUCCGGCAGUGCGGCGCCGUGCGCCGCCCUCUGUUCCGGCGUCCGGCAAAAAUAGAAUCGGUCCUAUUUUCGCCGGACGCCGGAGCACCUCCGCAGUAAAUGGACAGAAAUCACAACGGCCCAACAGGAAAAGGAGCAAGCACAAUUUCCGUUUUUCACAAUACAUCGAUAAACAAAAGGCGUUUUUUGUUUCAUAUGCACAGGUUUAACAACUUUUAACAACUAUCAAUGGCGGCUGAAGUUUAAAUGCACAAAAGUAAGCCAUAAAUACAGUUUCCACUAUCAAAGUAGUCACACUUUGUUGAUCCAAACACUGCUGAUCUCUCAACACAAAUGAUGGGCAGAUUAAACAGUUCAUGCCGAUGCUUCUCCCACACAACGGGUGUUUGGAUCUAACUUCCGCGUUUAUUGCUCGGACUGUAUCGCAAGAUCUCGAAAAUCCCGCGCAUGCUUGUUUGUCCCCCUCAGGUCUCCGCACCGGAGCGGAGCCGUUGUAGAGCGGGUACCAGUAAAAAUUGAAUUCGGAAGCGAGUGGCUGCGGAAGGCGGGGGCGGAGCGGAGGUAGUGGAAUUUGGGGGUCAUACAGACCAUUUUAGAUUAGGUUACAUUUCCUUUAUUCCCAGAUUAUGUAGUUUGUAGCACUCAUUAUAAUGUUGUAGAAAAUUUCUGGCCAAUGAACGUGAUCGGUAUCGGUGAUCGGUAUCGGUGAUCAGCAUUCUUUGAUAUCGGUAUCGGUGAUCGGCAGCAAAAAACCUGAUCGGUGCAUCCCUACCUCACGGUACUAACUGCCCCCAGCACUACUGGCUCUCUCUCUCCUCCCCUCUGGUUGGAAAACCCCGCCGCUCAUCAUCAUCCCGGAACACUCAUUCACUCUCCCAGCUCACCCCUUCCUGGAGAUCCUCCACCACGCUACGUCUACGCUGCUCCCGUUUGUCCAUUCACUGGGUUUCCAGUUCACCCUGAGUUCUAAUUAACCAAUAAAUCUUUAUUUUACACAUCCUGCUCCAGUGUAUUGAUUCUGCAUGUCUUGGGUUAAAUCAUUACCUCAGAACAUGACAGUCGUGGUUGUCUAUCUGUCAUCGCCUCUCUCUACGAUCCACUCGGAUUCAUCGCUCCUUUCAGCCUAAGUGGAAAACAUAUCCUUCAAGAGCUUUGUCACAGAGGCAUCGGAUGGGAUGCCCCACUCCCAGAAGAUGUGAAGCCACGGUGGGAGGAAUGGAUGAACGGUCAUCUCAAGUUAAAAGAGGUCUCAGUUCCGAGAUGUUACCACCCACAUGACAUUGUCAGAGUAGAGUUACACCAUUUCUCAGAUGCCAGCUGCAUGGGAUAUGGUGCAUGUUCUUACCUCAGGUACAAAAAUGACAAGGAUGAAGUCCAUUGCAGUCUUGUGAUGGUGAAAGCAAUGGUCGCACCCUCAAAGGUCACAAGUAUCCCGAGGCUAGAACUCGCAGCAGCUCUGAUUUUGGCAAAGGUCCGUGUCGUGUUAAAAUGUAAACUUGACAUGAAAAUUGAUCAAGAAUUCUUCUGGACUGAUUCGCAAGUCGUGCUUGGGUACAUCAACAAUGAUGCUCGCAGGUUCCACAUAUUUGUUGCAAACCGUGUUCAACUGA